rnacentral:miRNA from 1 species
AGAACUGUGUCGGGACAUCAGG